rnacentral:lncRNA from 1 species
CGAGACGAGACGGGACGCAACGACGCGCCGCACUGCCGUUCGGCGCCUGGCAGCGGCCGGCACCGCGCGGCCCCGCCCCACGCCCAGCUCGAGGGCGGCCGUUGGCGGCUGGCGCUGCCGCCGUGUGGGCGGCCGAUCCCGCCGUUCUGUGCUCGCGGCCGGCGUUCUGCGCAACGGCCCAGCGCUCCGCUUAACAGCCUUUCAGGUCAGCCCUGGCGAUGAGCUGAGAGCUGCUGUUGAUCAGAAAGGAAAGCGGAAUUACCUACAAGUAAAAUGCAGUCGGUUUCCUCCCGAAUGACAACAAAUAGUUGCCCGGUGAGGCUGUGGAUGCUCCCUCCCUGCAGUACCUAAAUCAGCCCUGACAGAGGCCUGUGAGCUUAAGACCCACAGUGAGGGAAGCCUCACACCGCUCCCCAGGCCAUCUCCUCCAGCGCUGAUGGCUGUAUCACUGCGAACGCAAACCUGCAUCUCCACAUCCUCGAAGCUCAGCCCCUGCUGUGAUCUUUGGAUGGUUCUGUGUGAAGCCAGGAGUUGGACUCAGUGAUCCUUAUGGGUCCCUUCCAACUCACAAUAUCCAAGGAUUCCUCUUCCCAGAGGACAGACGCUGAGAAAAGAUUUCAUUCCUGAGGAGUGUAUAGGAAGAAAAUGCUGCUAAGCUGGAAACUUUCACGCUUUUCCCAGAGGCGUUUGCCUGGCAAGUGGAUGAAUCCUUCUGUUUGUAGACAACUGCAGUUUCACUCCAGUACCCUGCCUAAAGAGAAGAACAAAAAGCCAGUUUACAAUCCUGACCUUGGAACUGAGAAGUGGGCAGGUAGCCUGGAGCAGUAUGGUCAGAUUCCGUAUCAGAGGAAGCAUGUAAUGUUGAAACCAUUCGGCCUGGAGCAACGAAAGCACAGAAGAGGUAUGAAACCAAGUUAA